rnacentral:rRNA from 1 species
GGGGAUGCAAGGGGGGAACCUGAUGCAGCACGCCGCGGUGGGGUGAUGAAGGCCUUCGCGGUUGUAAAGCUCCCUCUGCUUGGGAAGAAAGGUGCCGGUAUUCCAAAUGUGGCUUGCCUCCCGGAAGGAAAAUUCCGAGAGAAGCACCGGAUAACAUCCGUGCCAGCAGCCGCGGUAAUACGA